GCCUUCAUGAUGUAGUGGUCAACAUGCUCGAUGCGUAUUCGAAAGGUCCGUGGUUCGAGUCCCGGCGACGACA
rnacentral:tRNA from 1 species